CGCGGAGGUGGGGCCUCGCGGAGGUGGGGCCUCGCGGAGGUGGGGCCUCGCGGAGGUGGGGCCUGGCCGCAAGCUGGGACCCCGGAAGGGCACCGCGGCCCCUGCAUGUGCAGCUCCUCAGCUGCUUCUCCUGCUGCCGUCAAGUUAAAGGCCCCUAGCUGCCCCAGGAGAAACGUGCCCUCUAUCUCCUGUCUGGGCUCCUCUCGCUCCUGGUUCCCAAGGCCUCUCUGCCUCCCGCGUGAGACUUGGCCAUGUGAGCUCAGAGGGGAGACCAGGCUGGAAAUAGAAGACCUGUUAUUUCAUGGAGCAGAGACAAGCAACACCUUGGAGAUACGAUCAUCUGUGGAAAGUGUCCUGCUGUGACCUCCUGUGGGCUCCUCGAAUCUUCUGUAAGACCUGGCACCGGUUGCUCAGCCUCUCUGGACUUCCAUACUCAAGCCGCAGAGCCAACAGGAAAGCUUAGCAUCCUCACUCCAUGUUUCCAGAACACUAUGGACAUUAAUGCAAUGGUGCCUGUGAAAAUCGGAAGUCCUCAGAGGUUGGUCCAAUGCAAAUGUGAUUUAUUCACUACUGUUAUGGAGAGACCCCACAAACAUCAGGCAUGUAAACGGAAUAUAUAAAUAUUUGUGUAUGCAUACACUCCUGCCUUUAUGAGGGUUCAUAAAACCCAAACAGCACUCAUUGAUUUUUGUCUUAUUGUAAAGAAAAAAAAAAGCAAUAAAAU
ensembl:lncRNA